ACGUCAUUCGCCUUCACCUGCAAGUGGCCACUUCAAUGAUAUACCAAGUGCGACACUGUCACUUGUUCACGUGUUUGGCCACUAAUUCGCAUCUCCAACAGUUGCAGCCAGUGAGA